AAAUUCUUAACGAUGGAUAUCUUGGUUCCCAUAACGAUGAAGAACGCAGCGAAGUGCGAUAAGCAAUGCGAAUUGCAGAACCGUGAGUCAUCAGAUUUUUGAACGUAACUGGCGCCUGCUGGUAUUCCGACAGGCAUGCUUGUUUCAGU
rnacentral:rRNA from 1 species